UACGUAGGAUGCAAGCGUUGUUCGGAAUUACUGGGCGUAAAGAGUACGUAGGCGGCAAUGAAAGUCUGAUAUUAAAGACUGGGGCUUAACCUCAGGAGUGUAUCGGAAACUUCAUAGCUAGAGGACAGUAGAGGAAGUUGGAAUUCCCAGUGUAGCGGUGAAAUGCGUAGAUAUUGGGAGGAACACCAGUGGCGAAAGCGAACUUCUGGGCUGUUACUGACGCUGAGGUACGAAAGUGUGGGGAGCAAACAGG
rnacentral:rRNA from 1 species